rnacentral:rRNA from 1 species
CCUACGGGAGGCAGCAGUGGGGAAUAUUGGGCAAUGGGCGCAAGCCUGACCCAGCAACGCCGCGUGAAUGAAGAAGGCUUUCGGGUUGUAAACUUCUUUUCUCAGGGACGAAGCAAGUGACGGUACCUGAGGAAUAAGCUACGGCUAACUACGUGCCAGCAGCCGCGGUAAUACGUAGGUGGCAAGCGUUAUCCGGAUUUACUGGGUGUAAAGGACGUGUAGGCGGGGACGGAAGUCAGAUGUGAAAACCACGGGCUCAACCUGGGGACUGCAUUUGAAACUGUGUUUCUUGAGUACUUGAGGGGCCGACGGAAUUCCUAGUGUAGCGGUGAAAUGCGUAGAUAUUAGGAGGAACACCAGUGGCGAAGGCGGUCUGCUGGACAGCAACUGACGCUGAGGCGCGAAAGCGUGGGGAGCAAACAGGAUUAGAUACCCCAGUAGUC